CCCUUAGAUGUCCUGGGCCGCACGCGCGCUACACUGAUGCAUUCAACGAGUAUUUCCUUGGCCGAGAGGCCUGGGCAAUCUUUUAAACCUGCAUCGUGAUAGGGAUAGAUUAUUGCAAUUAUUAAUCUUGAACGAGGAAUUCCUAGUAAACGCAAAUCAUCAAUUUGCAUUGAUUACGUCCCUGCCCUUUGUACACACCGCCCGUCGCACUUACCGAUUGAAUGGUCCGGUGAAAUCUCGGGAUUGUGGCCAGUUCACUUUAUUGGGAGUUGGCUGCGAGAACUUGCUUAAACCUUAUCAUUUAGAGGAAGGUGAAGUCGUAACA
rnacentral:rRNA from 1 species